GAUGAAGAACGCAGUGAAAUGCGAUAAGUAAUGUGAAUUGCAGAAUUCAGUGAAUCAUCGAAUCUUUGAACGCACAUUGCGCCCCUUGGUAUUCCGAGGGGCAUGCCUGUUCGAGCGUCAUUUGUACCCUCAAGCUUUGCUUGGUGUUGGGCGUCUUGUCUCUAGCUUUGCUGGAGACUCGCCUUAAAGUAAUUGGCAGCCGGCCUACUGGUUUCGGAGCGCAGCACAAGUCGCACUCUCUAUCAGCAAAGGUCUAGCAUCCAUUAAGCCUUUUUUUCAACUUUUGACCUCGGAUCAGGUAGGGAUACCCGCUGAACUUAAGCAUAUCAAUAAGCGGAGGA
rnacentral:misc_RNA from 1 species